rnacentral:rRNA from 1 species
UACGGAGGAUGCAAGCGUUAUCCGGAAUGAUUGGGCGUAAAGCGUCCGCAGGUGGCUAUGUAAGUCUGCUGUUAAAGAGUGAGGCUCAACCUCAUAAGAGCAGUGGAAACUACAUGGCUAGAGUGCGUUCGGGGCAGAGGGAAUUCCUGGUGUAGCGGUGAAAUGCGUAGAUAUCAGGAAGAACACCGGUGGCGAAGGCGGCAUCCUGGACCGGUAUUGACGCUGAGGCGCGAAAGCCAGGGGAGCAAACGGG